AAUGACUYUYGGCAACGGAUAUYUYGGCUYUUACAUCGAUGAAGAACGUAGCAAAAUGCGAUACUUGGUGUGAAUUGCAGAAUCCCGUGAACCCUCGAGUCUUUGAACGCAAGUUGCGCCCGAAUCCAUYUGGUUGAGGGCACGUCUGCCUGGGUGUCACGUA
rnacentral:rRNA from 1 species